CCCUACUGCACAGAUUGUGGAGCGCGACAACUGGCGAACCAACAAGGACUUUGUUGGCCACCGUAAAGCUGUCACAUGUGUGAGAUUCAACCCGCACAUCCGAUCAAGAGUCAACAAGGACAACAACAAGACACAGACCUUUUGCUGCUGUGCCAUUGGAAGUCGGGACAGGUCCCUGUCUGUCUGGCUAACCUGUCUGAAGAGGCCUCUCGUUGUGGUGCAUGACCUCUUCUCCAACUCAGUGUUGGACAUAUCUUGG